UAUAUAUUUUAUACGAUGUGUUGCGAUGAUUUGUUGUGUUACAAUUUUAACUUUAAAUGUUCAUAAAAAUAUUUAUAGAAUUAUAUGGCAUUAUAUGCACAACUUUAUUUUUUAAUUCCAGUAAUAAAAACGUUUUAGAAACCACGACCAUGAAUUUGGCCCACCCACCAAACCCAAUCCACUUCAAAUAUAUGUCAAAAAAUUGUGAAAAAUUAGCAAGUAAUAGCAAGGGGGCCAAGUUUAGGUAGCCCACCCACUUCAACCAAUACACUUCAAAUGUAUGUCAAUAAUAGCAAAUAAUUAGCAAGUAAUAGCAAGUUGGUUUUAAAAAUUAGCAAGUCAAUUUUUCACUGGGUGGGCCAAGUUCAGGUAGCCCACCCACUUCACCUAAUACACUUGAAAUGUAUGUCAAAAAAUAGCAAAUAAUUAGCAAAGAUAAAAUUCUUCUUUACGUGUUGUGAAAAUUUGGUAGCUUUACAACAAAUAUGGUGCGAAAAAACUUGUUCCGCGCAAAACAGUUUUUGCUAUGUUGUACAUUUGAAAGACUGAGACAACACAUGGGGUGUGACGUCCUCUUAAGAAUAAAACCUAUAUCUUUUAAGUUUUAAUAAACCUAGCUGAAGUCAUAAAAUAAUAAAUAAA